rnacentral:lncRNA from 1 species
UCUAAGUCAAAUAUUUGGUAAUGCUGGUCAUGGUUUGACUAAGGACAUGGAUAGGCCUACGCAGACUCAAAACACAGAAAAGCUAAUCAAUUUUGUUCAAUUGUUUUCUCUCAUUAUAUUUAAUAUUUAGCAAUCCAUUAAUCUGACAGUUAAACAAGUGAUUCAGCCUCCUGAACUGGCUGAUGCUCAGUCAAGAUAUGAUAAACAUGUCAGCUAAGAAGGAACAUGUGGCCCAACAAUGUUCAUUAUGACAUGCAAAAAUAACCAAGUAAUCCAUGGCAAUAACCAAAUAAAAUGUGGCAACAUGGAAAACAACACAGAGUGUGAAGAUAACUAUGCAAUGCAAAUUUGACAAGCAUGAGCCAUUAAAGAUGGGCCACUUGGCCAACAAAUUAAAUGACUUGAAGUACUAUUUAAGCUUCUCCAGUGACAGAUCCAACCCUUUAACAAUUCUUCAAUAUCUUCUCUUCCAGAUGCAACAAAAAAAAUUAUAGCCGUGUACACCUUUGAACUUUCCUUUUCUUCAUCACAUACAUAUCAGACCAAGAAAAAUAAGAGUACUUUUGGAUGAAGGCCACAAAGCCUAAUCAACACCAAAUAAAGAGAACACUAAUGCCCACAAGUCUUUUUUUUUUUUAUGGGCAAAAUAAAGAGUACACUAAUGCCCACAAGUCUCGCACUACAAAACAAUGAUAACAAACAUGCUUCACCAACACCAAAUACCAUUUGCAUAUAUAACACUAGUUCACAAGGGUACAACUCCUUUGCACCAGCUGCACUAUGAUGAGAAUUUUUUUCCAAGAAGCUUCCCACACAAGAAAAAUGUCAAUCUUGGAUAGCACAAGAAAAAACCCAAGCAACCGAGAUCCAAUAGGAAAAGUUAGGUCAUAAAGGAAGUACCAUAAAGAAGUAUUUGACCAAGAAAACUUGCUUGAAGAUUUAUAAAUCAACACACCCUCUCUCAACUACUUGAUGAUUUUGCUACCAGAUGUUAGGCCAUAAAACUCCC